rnacentral:rRNA from 1 species
UAUUGGUCAAUGGCCGGAAGGCUGAACCAGCCAAGCCGCGUGAGGGAGGAAGGCGCAGAGCGUCGCAGACCUCUUUUGCCGGGGGACAAAAGGCCGGACUUGUCCGGUCCUGAGGGUACCCGGAGAAAAAGCAUCGGCUAACUCCGUGCCAGCAGCCGCGGUAAUACGGAGGAUGCGAGCGUUAUCCGGAUUUAUUGGGUUUAACGGGUGCGCAGGCGGAUUUUUAAGUCAGCGGUCAAAUCGUGGGGCUCAACCCCAUCCAGCCGUUGAAACUGGGGAUCUAGAGUGUGCGAGAGGUAUGCGGUAUGCGUGGUGUAGCGGUGAAAUGCAUAGAUAUCACGCAGAACCCCGAUUGCGAAGGCAGCAUACCGGUGCACAACUGACGCUCAGGCACGAAAGCGUGGGUAUCGAACAGG